UGCCAGCAGCCGCGGUAAUACGGAGGGUGCGAGCGUUAAUCGGAAUUACUGGGCGUAAAGAGCACGUAGGUGGAUAUUUAAGUUAGGUGUGAAAUACCCGGGCUUAACCUGGGGGGGUCAUCUAAUACUGGAUAUCUAGAGUUUAUUAGAGGGAAGAGGAAUUUCCGGUGUAGCGGUGAAAUGCGUAGAUAUCGGAAGGAACACCAGUGGCGAAGGCGACUUCCUGGAAUAAAACUGACACUGAGGUGCGAAAGCGUGGGGAGCAAACAGGAUUAGAUA
rnacentral:rRNA from 1 species